UUUUUUUUUUUUUUAAAUAUUUCUGGUCCGUAGAUUAGAACCAGGGUCUAUUAAUAAAGAACCAUACCUUUCAAGGCUUUAGCCAUUUGAGCUAGCAAUUUUGACGUUGUAGGUGUGAGAUUUAGAAUGUGUAUACCACCUGAACAUUAAUAUUAAUAGUCUUCAGACACACCUCUUCAUCUUUCUUUUUCUUACUUUAGAAUGCUUCUCUUCAUCUUCAAACGCCCAGCUUCACUUCUAUCCCCCUUUGGCUACAUAACUUGAAUUCUUUUAAUGUUUUCUUUUUUUCUUUUUUCCCUAGAAGAAGAAUUGUGCUAGUCUUUGUUCACUAGCACCAGUGUUCAAGCAAACUUAUUUGAGUUUUUUCGUUGUUACUAUUUGAGGUGGUUAUCAUAAGAAUCAGGCAUCAAUGCCCGAUUGAAGUUCUUAUUCUCUUUCUUGCCUCGCUAGCAAUGAUUCUUGAUGAAGCAGCUCUACGGAUCUGGUAAAUUUUUUCAAAUGAUGCUAAAAUGAAGCAAGUGGAUGCGGGAAGAUAUGAUAUAGAAGGCCAAAGAUGGAGGACUAGAUGUUGUUGAGACCUAUGUUUUCUGGAAUGUGCAUGAGCCUACACCUGGAAAUGAACUUCGAUUUACUCUCUCUUUUUUUUUUUGGGGGUUUAUUUAGUCUUGUUUAAUUUCUUGUCAAUUGUGCUUGUCAUAUGGGAUGUACUACAAUUUUGAAGGGAGAUAUGAUGUUCUGAGGUUCAUAAAGUUAAUCCAGAAAUCAAGCCUAUAUGCUCAUCUUCGCAUUGGACCUUAUGUUCUUGCUGACUGGAAUUUUGGAGGUUUCCCUGUUUGGUUGAAGUAUGUCCCAGGCAUCAGCUUUAGAAAAGACAAUGAGCCUUUCAAGGAGGAUGAGGAUGAGGAUGAUGAGUAGAUUGAUUAGGAAUGGUGGUGGAUGCAAGAAUUGGCAUGAGAAAUUUCUAUAUAAUUUGUUAACAAAGUAUAAUGACCUGCAUUUUAGACUUGAAAUAGUUGCUUAUACUUGUUUGAUGAGCUUUUUUGAUACUGGUUAAUUUUGCUGGAGAUGUUGCAGACAAAGCAAGAAUUGGUGUUUGAAAGGCUUAUCAGGAUGCCAUAGUUGAUAUACGCUGGAUCAAGUCUUGCAAGUAUGGUACCUGGACGUAAGAAAAAUAUUGCUUUGCCUAGACCUCCACAAGUUCAACUGAAGAACACAUGAAUGCAAUCCAAACUAUCAAAAAUAAUUAAUGGGACACCACUACCCACUUCAGUUGAGAUUGCCAACCUAUCUCUAAUGAGUGGUGAAGGUACUGAAGGUAAAGCCCAGCGAAUAUUAAACAAAGAUUUUGGAGUUCUGAUCUACAGAAGUGUCUAAAGUAUUCAAGUUAGGUCAGGAGUCAACUCUAUGGGUGAAUUAAUCAAAUUGCCCAUCGCUGGUUCAAUCUAGUUUGUUCGCCAUAGUCCUAAGGACCGCGGCGUCACAUUUUCUGAUUCAAAAUUCGAGUUAAGACUGACCUCGCAGCACUUCCCGGAAUGAUCACCCAUCGAUGGCUUAUCUAGGUAUCUUAGAUGUGGUUCUAAUUCUCUUAAUUACUCGGACCGACACCAGUCACCGGAACAGUAAAAUGUACCAGGCUAUGCAAAUAGGGGUGUUACAUGUUUUCUCAAUUUUUAGCCGGACAUGGAACUAACAUCGCAGAGAGCAGUAGAGGAAGAGGUGGAGAGCCAUGGUCCACCCAUUGUUGAAGCUGGAGGCAGGGGAAAACCUACUCUACCAGCACAAGAGAUACCUGCUCAGCCUCAACAGGCUUUAUUUCAGCAAAUGACCGAAUUCUUUAGGUAGAUGACUGGGGCUAUACCACAACUACAGCCACAACCUCCACUACCACCACAGAAGUCUCAUAUGGAGAAGUUAAGGAAAUAUGGGGUUGUGGACUUUCUGGAAAAGAAGGAAGAUGAUCCUCCAACAGCCGAAAAUUGGCUAGACAGAACAGAAUGGGUACUGAGAUAACUUCACUGCACCUCAGAGCAGAACCUAGAGGGUGCUGUGUCCCUACUCCAGGACGAUGCCUAUUAGUGAUGGGACACAGUAUCCAGGGAGGUGAAACCAGAACGAAUCACCAGGGAUUUCUUUCUCACAGAGUUUAGAAAGAAAUAUGUUAGUAAUGUGUACCUAGAAGAGAGAAGAAGGGAAUUCAUCAGUCUGAGGCAGAGGCAGUUGUCAGUGGCAGAGUAUGAAAGAGAAUGUAACACCCCUCACCCGUGUACAGUGUAGCCGAGUAAGGCAUGUCACACUCGGUGCCGGAGCACCCUAUCUUAUCUUACUUUAUUAAUUUAAUAAUUUGUUCUCGUUAUAUUUUAAUAUCAAUUAUUUUUCUAAGAAGAACCCAGCGGAGUUUUCCCUA